GUUGAUGGGAGGCUAAUAUUCGUUGAAUUUGCAAAAACUACAAAACCAGCAGAGGACACUAUCAGUUGAAGAUAUCUCAUGCAGUUAUUUGUUUGCCAAUUGUAUUUGAGAUCAAAUGGCAGAAUGGUUUUUCCACAUUGUAGCAUAUGCUUGUUUGAGCUCGGACUUCAAUUAUCAUACACAUUUCUUUAUCGCUAUCUUAGUGUUGAAUUUUUAUUACCAAGUUUUGGAAGCAAUGAUACAAAAAUUUUAUAAAAAUUCAACACUAAGAUAGCGAUAA
rnacentral:misc_RNA from 1 species